rnacentral:rRNA from 1 species
GGGACACGUGGUAUCCUGUCUGAAUAUGGGGGGACCAUCCUCCAAGGCUAAAUACUCCUGACUGACCGAUAGUGAACCAGUACCGUGAGGGAAAGGCGAAAAGAACCCCGGCGAGGGGAGUGAAAAAGAACCUGAAACCGUGUACGUACAAGCAGUGGGAGCACGCUUAGGCGUGUGACUGCGUACCUUUUGUAUAAUGGGUCAGCGACUUAUAUUCUGUAGCAAGGUUAACCGAAUAGGGGAGCCGAAGGGAAACCGAGUCUUAACUGGGCGUUAAGUUGCAGGGUAUAGACCCGAAACCCGGUGAUCUAGCCAUGGGCAGGUUGAAGGUUGGGUAACACUAACUGGAGGACCGAACCGACUAAUGUUGAAAAAUUAGCGGAUGACUUGUGGCUGGGGGUGAAAGGCCAAUCAAACCGGGAGAUAGCUGGUUCUCCCCGAAAGCUAUUUAGGUAGCGCCUCGUGAAUUCAUCUCCGGGGGUAGAGCACUGUUUCGGCAAGGGGGUCAUCCCGACUUACCAACCCGAUGCAAACUGCGAAUACCGGAGAAUGUUAUCACGGGAGACACACGGCGGGUGCUAACGUCCGUCGUGAAGAGGGAAACAACCCAGACCGCCAGCUAAGGUCCCAAAGUCAUGGUUAAGUGGGAAACGAUGUGGGAAGGCCCAGACAGCCAGGAUGUUGGCUUAGAAGCAGCCAUCAUUUAAAGAAAGCGUAAUAGCUCACUGGUCGAGUCGGCCUGCGCGGAAGAUGUAACGGGGCUAAACCAUGCACCGAAGCUGCGGCAGCGACACUAUGUGUUGUUGGGUAGGGGAGCGUUCUGUAAGCCUGU